AAUUUAGAAAUAUUAUUAAACAAUCGUUGAAUAUAAUGCCAUCAGUCUUUUUUUUUUUUCCACAACAGGCUUGAAAUUUGCCUAUAAGUAGCAGUCGAGAGAGGAGGUUUUCAACUCAACCUGCCUUGUGAUAAUCCAAAAUGAAAGCAUUAUUUCUCCUAGUAUGCUUUCUCUUAGCUUCCUCUCUCUUUGUUCCCACUUCCACCUUGGCUCGAGAGCUGGUUGAGAAAGGUACUAGCAACUAAACUUUAAGAUAACUUUAUAUAUAUUUUUCUCAUAAUAAAAUUGGAGAUAUUUUCAGAUUUUAUUUGAACCAUAUAUAUAUAAUUAAAUCUUAUAACAUGUUAAAUUCGAGAUUAGUUCAAUUAAUUAAUUCAAUUAUCUUUAACAUAUGGCAUCUAGUAAGUUUAAGAUUUCAAUUUCAUCUACAAUCACUUUUUUUAUCUCGAAUUUGUGAUUUUUUUUUUUAAAUUCUCAGCACUUUGCUUUAACUAAUUACAUUGAAUUUAUUUAUAUGAAUGAUUUUAAGAACAUGGACAUGGCAUAUGGCUGUUAAAUUUGCAGGCUCCGUUUCCAGUAAUAGCCCAUUUGUGCAUGGUGGAGCACUUGAUCCUAGGAAACCUGUGGCUAUGCGUGGGCGUGGAUUGCUUGCCAUAGUUGGCUAUCCCCCACCGCCUUGCAUACCCACUUAUAGGCACUGCUGGACUGCUGCAACUACACCAUGAAGGUCGUCGAAAAGCUAUGGAGGAUCUAUUCCCAUAUGCGAAAUCACAAUGGGAAUUUCAUAGCUAAUAAUAAAGUUGCCCCAAAGCAAUAACCAGAUCAUGAUCAUGAAGUUGCAGUCGCCAUGAUUUGUAUUUUGAAGACUACUACUACAACUUUGUUUAGUAAAUAUGUGCCAUAAGAUAGUUCUCAAAGAGCUCAGUUCUUAAGGUCCAAUAGAUCAAAGCAAACAUUAUCUUGCAAGUUGGUGUAGACCGUCACAGACAACUAUAGCUUUUCAUCUAAAUGAACCUAAAUGCUUGUCCCAACAAAUUCCAAAGAACUAAAUGAAUGUCAUCUAAAACAAACUAAAAACUAAAUGGAAUUUUUGGUCUUUUCACAAUUCCAUGCAAAACCCAUCAAGAAUCUACCUGUAUUUUAUCCAAAAAUUCAAUCUUCUUUCCACUAAAUUGAAAUUAGUGACAUUAUUCAACAGAAAAAUUCGCAAAGAUUCGACUCUAACAACAAAAACCCAUUUCUUUUCUCACCAUGUGCAACAAAAAUAACACAACAAUUAUUACAAAAAGAAAUGAACAAAACAGUUAAGAGCCUUGAACGCUGCAUAAAAAAUUGAGCUAAAAAAUGGAAUCGAAAAGGAUUGCAAGAGAGAGUUGAGGAGGGUAGGAAAGAGUGGUGACUCACCUUUUUGGGAGAGCCAAGUUGACUCGUCAAUUUGGGGAAUUUUAGGUGGUUAGUGGAAGUGCUGUUAGGGUUUUGGCUCAGGC
rnacentral:lncRNA from 1 species